AAUGCGUUGUCACAACGAAAGAGAAAUGUUCCCAUCAUUCAUUAUUAAAAUGUCAUAUCUGUGCCAGGCCGUUGUUAAACGACACAAAAAAAUUCCCUGACUCAUUGUUUUCCGCUUCAAAGGCAAUAAAUUUGCACAAUGCCGCCAAUGCAAGAAUAUCCAGUGGCAGAUCGUGGUGUGCUCCUACUGCUGAUGGAAAUCACUAUCUUCAAGUUUUCAAAGGAAACAAAAACGCUUACAAAGAAGCUGCUAUAUCAAACAUCAAAGGAGGUACAAGGACGAGAGCUUUACGACUUACUCCAGUGACCUACAACAAUCGACCCUGCAUAAGGGUAGAACUUUGUGGCGGAGUUAAGAACUUUAUUAAAAUUGAGAACAGUGGCGUGGCCCGGGAAAGGAACUGAAGGAGCUUGUCUUCCCCCAGUUAUUUUGAUGAACAAUUU